rnacentral:rRNA from 1 species
UGGGGAAUAUUGCACAAUGGGCGCAAGCCUGAUGCAGCCAUGCCGCGUGUGUGAAGAAGGCCUUCGGGUUGUAAAGCACUUUCAGCGGGGAGGAAGGCGGUGAGGUUAAUAACCUCAUCGAUUGACGUUACCCGCAGAAGAAGCACCGGCUAACUCCGUGCCAGCAGCCGCGGUAAUACGGAGGGUGCAAGCGUUAAUCGGAAUUACUGGGCGUAAAGCGCACGCAGGCGGUCUGUCAAGUCGGAUGUGAAAUCCCCGGGCUCAACCUGGGAACUGCAUUCGAAACUGGCAGGCUAGAGUCUUGUAGAGGGGGGUAGAAUUCCAGGUGUAGCGGUGAAAUGCGGAGAGAUCUGGAGGAAUACCGGUGGCGAAGGCGGCCCCCUGGACAAAGACUGACGCUCAGGUGCGAAAGCGUGGGGAGCAAACAGG